rnacentral:snoRNA from 1 species
UCUGAUCCAUGAUGACUUCCUAACACUUGUGGACUGUUGGAUGAAGCUUGCGGAUAUGGGACUGAGAUCAGAC